rnacentral:rRNA from 1 species
CAAAAGGGCCUAGAUAUUCUGAAAGCACUCAAUUCUAUCUGAUUUUGGAAGCUAAACUGAGUCAGGCCUAGUUAGUACUUGGAUGGGAGAUUGACCAGAAAUAUCAGAUGCUGUAAACU